GGCAAGAUGGCCGAGUGGUUAAGGCGCAACGUUCAGGAACUCUGAAAUUUCAACCGUUGUCUUCGGGCGUGGGUUCGAAUCCCACUCUUGUCA
rnacentral:tRNA from 1 species